AUGAAAUGCAAGGACGUUCUUUUUAGAAGUCCGACCCAAUUCAUCCUUUCACCCUGUGCACAUAACAUUUUAACACCCAUUUUAAACACGUAAAGUCAUGUGAAUGUCAUAAAGUCUCUUAAUCGAGCAUAAAAGUUAAUA
rnacentral:misc_RNA from 1 species